rnacentral:rRNA from 2 species
AUUGACCUCGGAUCAGGUAGGGAUACCCGCUGAACUUAAGCAUAUCAAUAAA